rnacentral:lncRNA from 13 species
CACUGCUUUAAUGCUACAGUGGCAGAAGUAAGUGGUUGCAUUAGAGAUCAGAUGGCCUGCAGAUAGAUGCCCACACUGAUUUUUGUGAUAUUUCUCAAAGCACCAAAGCCCAGUCACACUUGGGGCUUUUGUACUAGCUCUUCCUUCCACAUAGAACAUCACACAAUAAAUCACAUACCACCUUUUGACACUGCUAAAAUGCUAUUUCUUUAGAGAUAACUCUCCCGACUGGACCAUCUGAAGGAGAACCAUCCCUUUCCCUCUUUAGCCUCUAACAUAGCAUUAUUUUAUUUUGUAUCACUGAUCAAUACCCCUAUUUAUUGUCUGUCCAUAUAUCAUCUGUAGGCCCACUAGAAUGUAGGCUCUGAGAAGAGUUUGCGAUGGUAUAUUGACUGCUAUGUUCCCCAAUGCCCAGAACGAAACAUGGAACUUUCUAGAUACUCAAAACAAUAAAAUGAGUGAAUGAAUAGAUGUUUUGCUUAGAGCUGCAUCUCUAAUACUUAAAAGGUGCAUGGCACAAAAUAAAAGCUCCCUAAAUAUUAGAGAAGGAAGAAAUAAGGAAAGAAGUAAGAGAUAAAGGGAAGGAAAGAAGAAAGAAGGAAGAAGGAGAGCAAAGGAGGAAAGGAGAGGAAAAACAGAGUUGAUACUUCUCCAAGUUCAGGUUUUAGUAAAACAGAGAAUGAAACAGCAUAAAGACAAAAUGAAGUAAGACGAUGAUGACAGCAUCAGGAGAGAAUUCUCUGGCACAGAGCAGGGGAGAAGCAAUAGACAUCAAAGACCAAUGUCAUUAUUUGUUCAGUGUUCUGCAUCUCUAGGUAACUUUAGCCAUCUCACCUCACACAGCUGCCCCUCCACAAGUCAGUGAAUGAACAACAUCCACACAAGGACCUCCAAAGACUUCAUGCCCCACGAGCUUCCUUGGGAGCAAAACACAGGAUCGAGAGAACAAGGUUCACAGACCUCCGUGCACAACAUUAAGGGGGAAAAGGCUAACAGAGAAAGGUCCAACCCAGCCAGUGUUCACCAGUAAAAGGUGAUUUAUUAGAAG